UACAGAGGGGGCAAGCGUUAUUCGGAAUCAUUGGGCGUAAAGCGCGCGUAGGCGGCCCCGUAAGUCCGCUGUGAAAGUCAAAGGCUCAACCUUUGAAAGCCGGUGGAUACUGUGGGGCUAGAGUACGGAAGAGGCGAGUGGAAUUCCUGGUGUAGCGGUGGAAUGCGCAGAUAUCAGGAGGAACACCAAUAGCGAAGGCAGCUCGCUGGGACGUUACUGACGCUGAGGCGCGAAAGCGUGGGGAGCGAACAGG
rnacentral:rRNA from 1 species